rnacentral:tRNA from 1 species
GCUUGGGUAGCUCAAUCGGUAGGGCGUGUGUUCUUUUGAACGCAAGGUGAAGGUUCGAAUCCUUUCCCAAGCACCA